UUCGUUGACUCGGGGUGCCGCUUUCCUGUCACGGAAAUCGGCUGAGAUAGACCCGUAUUACCUGAUCUGGAUUAUGCCAGCGUAGGGAAGUCACGGUAUCCCGCC
rnacentral:ncRNA from 2 species